rnacentral:rRNA from 1 species
AGUGAACGCUGGCGGUAGGCCUAACACAUGCAAGUCGAACGGCAGCACCGUAAGAGCUUGCUCUUACGGGUGGCGAGUGGCGGACGGGUGAGGAAUGCAUCGGAAUCUACUUUUUCGUGGGGGUUAACGUAGGGAAACUUACGCUAAUACCGCAUACGACCUACGGGUGAAAGCAGGGGAUCUUCGCACCUUGCGCGAUUGAAUGAGCCGCUGUCGGAUUAGCUAGUUGGCGGGGUAAAGGCCCACCAAGGCGACGAUCGGUAGCUGGUCUGAGAGGCUGAUCGGCGACACUGGAACUGAGACACGGUCCUGGCUCCUACGGGACGCAGCAGAGGGGAAUAUUGGACAAUGGGCGCAAGCCUGACCCAGCCAUCCCGCGUGGGUGAAGAAGGCCUUCGGGUUGUAAAGCCCUUUUGUUGGGAAAGAAAAGCAUCAGGUUAAUACCCCGCUGUUCUGACGGUACCCAAAGAAUAAGCACCGGCUAACUUCGUG